UACGGAGGGUGCAAGCGUUAAUCGGAAUUACUGGGCGUAAAGCGUGCGCAGGCGGUUUGUUAAGUCUGUUGUGAAAUCCCCGAGCUCAACUUGGGAAUUGCAAUGGAUACUGGCAGGCUGGAGUAUGGUAGAGGAAGGUGGAAUUCCCGGUGUAGCAGUGAAAUGCGUAGAGAUCCGGAAGAACACCAGUGGCGAAGGCGGCUCGCUGGGCAGUGGCUGACGCUGAGGCGCGACAGCGUGGGGAGCAAACAGG
rnacentral:rRNA from 1 species